ACUCCAUUAGUAUAAUAGUAUAACUGACUUCCAAUCAGCAGGACCCAAAAGACCUUGGGAUGGAGUA
rnacentral:tRNA from 1 species